CACGUAGGCGGAUCAGAAAGUUGGGGGUGAAAUCCCAGGGCUCAACCCUGGAACGGCCUCCAAAACUCCUGGUCUUGAGUUCGACGAGAGGUGAGUGGAAUUCCGAGUGUAGAGGUGAAAUUCGUAGAUAUUCGGAGGAACACCAGUGGCGAAGGCGGCUCACUGGCUCGAUACUGACGCUGAGGUGCGAAAGUGUGGGGAGCAAACA
rnacentral:rRNA from 1 species